CACACAACAUUUUUUAAUAUUUUGGAGCAUAGUUUAAUAAAAUAUCCCUUGUUUAAAGUUUUGCAUCAUGCACAUCAUAAGCAUGAAAAUUAUACUCCAAAAAUUGAUCAUAGCCUGAGGUAGCUCAGUUGUGCAAUUUGGUGAUGACAAUCAACCUUAAUCAAUUUGCAUGCUCAUUAUGAGAGUUCCAAAGAUAUGAGUUCAAAACAAAAAUUGUUACCUCCUUAAAAAGUUUUAUACAAAAAGCUCCCAAUUCAAGAAAAAUUUUU
rnacentral:lncRNA from 1 species